rnacentral:rRNA from 1 species
CCUACGGGAGGCAGCAGUAGGGAAUAUUGCUCAAUGGGGGAAACCCUGAAGCAGCAACGCCGCGUGGAGGAUGAAGGUUUUCGGAUUGUAAACUCCUUUUGUUAGAGAAGAUAAUGACGGUAUCUAACGAAUAAGCACCGGCUAACUCCGUGCCAGCAGCCGCGGUAAUACGGAGGGUGCAAGCGUUACUCGGAAUCACUGGGCGUAAAGAGCGCGUAGGCGGGAUAGCAAGUCAGAUGUGAAAUCCUAUGGCUUAACCAUAGAACUGCAUUUGAAACUGUUAUUCUAGAGUAUGGGAGAGGUAGGGGGAAUUCUUGGUGUAGGGUAAAAAUCCGUAGAGUUCAAGAGGAAAACUCAUUGCGAAGGCGACCGCUAGAACAUAACUGACGCUGAUGCGCGAAAGCGUGGGGAGCAAACAGGAUUAGAUACCCCUGUAGUC